CUGAGUCUCCGCAGGAGGUGGAGAGGCUGCGGGAGGAGAUCCAGACGUGGCCCAGAUACAGAAACCUGAAAUCUUUGCAAGCCAAAAGUUUCUCUUGGCGAAAAGAAAAAGUAGCGGAAUAAUUUGCAGGGAUCCGUCCUGCAGCCCCAGAAAUGGUCCCGUGAAGGAAAAGGCAUCUGGAGACCCACCAGAGUCCUUGGACCCAUCUGGAGUUGCUCUGCAGGACAGAGAAAGGAUG